UACGGAGGUGGCAAGCGUUGCUCGGAAUCACUGGGCGUAAAGGGCGCGUAGGCGGGGAGGUAAGUCGGGUGUGAAAUCUCAGAGCUCAACUCUGAAACUGCACUCGAUACUGCUCUGCUUGAGGACUGGAGAGGAGACUGGAAUUCACGGUGUAGCAGUGAAAUGCGUAGAUAUCGUGAGGAAGACCAGUGGCGAAGGCGGGUCUCUGGACAGUUCCUGACGCUGAGGCGCGAAGGCCAGGGGAGGCAAACGGG
rnacentral:rRNA from 1 species